AGCUUCUCUGCUGGUCUACAGGCUAGCCACUCGGUCAGUUGAACAUUUUCCAUGCUGUGAUCAAGUUGUCUUUUCCUUUGAGCGCCGAGCGCUGUGCACGCCUGGGACUUGGAACGUUUCGAAAUCGGGCUGACAGUCAUUUAGAAAGUAUUCGAGAAAAUAUUCGAAAGUUAAAGCGCUAAAUAUAUGUUUAGAAUUCCCGACUUAAGCCACCAGUUUAGUGUGUGUACUCUCGAGCAGCAAGUGCGUGAAUCGGUGGCGGCCAAGUGCAAAUGCAAACAAACCAAAUAUACAAGACACAAAAAUGUUGAAACGACGGACUGACUUACAUGCAUUUUAUUAGUAAAUAACAAAUACAACCGAAUAAAACCAAAACAAAAAACCCAAUAUCAUUACAACCGAAAACACCAACGGAAAAAAACAGCCGCAAACAUUUUUGUAAAACAAAUGAUUAAAAAGGUUUCGCCAGCAAAGAAAAACAAGCAAAAACCAACAAGCGCGUGGAAAUCGAAUGCUGAAAAUCGCCCAUAAAACGCAUAAAUAAAUAAACUAUGCUCAAGCGAAAUUAAUUAAAAAAGAAUGGAAAAUCAAAUCAGGCAAGAUAAUUAAAACAGUAAGCGCGCACACGGCAAAUAAGGCAACGGCAAUAUCCUGCCGCAAAAAUUGAAAAUAUCCUGUAAGACGGCUGGGAAAAAGGACGAGCCCCACGAACAGAAAGGAAAAUGAGGUCGACGAAGGCGAACCCAAAGGCCGGAGUGGAUCCCAAAAUUUUGUGCUUUUGUAUUUGCCAAUUUUAAUGAGUGUAGCAAGCAAACCAAGCAAGAAAAACAAAAACCAAAUCCAAAAAACAGAAAUAGAAACAGAAACCUAAAACUUUAGCAAACAACAAAAAACACCACAACAACCACAUCAAUAACAGAGCAUUUUGUACAACAAGCACAACAAAAGCUUGAAAAGUCCCACCAUUAUCAUCAUCAACAACAAUAACAACAACAACAAAGACUCAUUUGAAUUGCAACAAAUAAUAGACAACAAGAACAACAACCAGCACGUACACAAUGUGACAAUAAAACAGUGUGGCCAGUAGCAGCUAGAAAGCAAAAAGCCAAAAAGGAAUUUAAUUGCACGCACUAGACGAGAAGUAGCCAUAAAAGAGCCAGCAGAAACAGCCAAAAAAAUAAAGCCAAAAAAAGCCAAAAACACCAAAAACAACCAGAACACCGAAACAGUGAUAAAAAUCGAGAACGAGCGCACAAGCAGAGAGAAAUCCGAGAACGCAGACGAGAAAGCAGAAGUUAUAUAAUAUCAAUUCAAGCGUACUUUUCCAACUUGUUUCCUCUCUUGUUGUCGAAUGUCCUUGCACCGCCUUUAAACUCUCGCUCUGUGUGUGUGCAUCCCGUUCACAUAUGUGUGUGUGUCUCCCGCCCCACCAGCCACCUUCCCCCACAUCCGUUCCACGAUCGGUGUCCGUGUUUGUCGUGUAGCACCACCACCACCUAGAGCAAUCCAGCACCACCAAACCAGCAAUAAAGAGCACCCUCACAAGUAUAAAUAAGAUCAAAACCGCAGCAACCACAAUAUAUACCACCUGCAAUCGCAAUAGAAAUCGCAAUCGCAAUAGCAAUAGCAAUAGCAAUCGACUUGGCGGUGCAACCACCCUAAGAGCCAGCUGAACCACCGACCUCUGGGGCUGACAGACAGGUCAGAGUGAAGUACCCACUAGCCAACCCAAAUAGCCUCCUGGUUCCUGGUAGCUCCCGAUAGCUCCCCCGAUUGAUCCACUCCACAUAACCACAUACCAGCACCACAAUUGCACAUUACUACCAUAGAUACCCCCGGCAGUACUACUACCGCAUGGAGCGCGGCACCAGCGGUGGUCAGCAGCAGCAGCACCAGCAGCAGCAGCAGUCAUCGCACCACCACCACCAGCAGCAGCAGUCGUCGCACCACCAGCAGCAACACGCGCACCACCAGCAGCAGCGACACCACCAGCAUGUCGUCGCCGUGCACAGCUUCGAUCCGUAUCUGACCGUCGGCGGGGCGGACGAGGAGCACACGUCCGGCACCUCGUCCUUUGACAAUCCCGCCACCAAAAAGAAGCCGCCCAAGCUGAAGCCCAUCCACCGAUCCCUGUCCAUGGCCAUCGAUAAUUAUGCACCGUCUUCCGGGGAUCUCGACAUGGAUUUGGACAUGGAAAUGGGCAUGGAGAUGGGCAUGGACAUGGACCUGGACAUGGAGAUGGACCUGGAGGGCGAGGGCAUCAUCAUCAGUGAGAAGCCGCUGAUCCACCGCUCGGCCUCGCCCCUGCCCCAUUCCCGAUCCGGAGCCCUACCCCCGCAGACCCUAGCUAUCCCAGCACAACAGCAACAGCAACAUAUUCUAUCCCAUCCCAGCCAGCGUGGCGGCGGUGGUGGCACCGGCAGUGGUGCCGUUUCCCCAGCCCUUUCUGCCCGCCAGCAACACCAUCACCUCCUCCAACAACAACAACAACAACAACACCACCACCAGCAACAACAACACCAACAACAACAACAGCAACAUCAGUUGCACUUGCACACUUUUCAGCAACUUGCCGCACAGGCAGCUGCUGCACGGCAUCAGACAACCCACCAGCAGCAUUCACUAUCGCACCGCCAACAUCCGCAACAACAUACGCAUCCACAUCAACAGCUUCAACAUCCGCAUCCGCAUCAGCAUGCGCACUCGAAGAGCUCACCAACCUCACACGCGGUUAGCCCGGUGCUGGGCCAACAGCACCGCCAGCAGCCGGACAUUUACCUGGUCAGCAGCAGCAGCAGCCUGGGCGAUGGUGUCGGUGUGGGCAGCUUGGGCGUGGGCAUGGGCAUGGGCAUGGGGCGAUCGUUGGGCGGGAGCACAUCGCCCAUUCAGUUCAUCGACAUGGACGAUAUGCCCAAUCCGACGGUGGCCCCGCAUCAGCGCCCAAUGCAUCCGCUGAAGAAGAACCUGUUCCGGCGAUCCGACACCAUUGACGUCCAUCCGUCUACCAAUUUUCAGAUGAAGAAAACGCAUUCCUUCCACGCGCAACAGGAUCCCGCCGCCCUGGACCAAAUCCAGCUGGCCGUAGCAGCCGGCUCGGCGACCUCCAGUCGUCGCACCAGUUCGGUGAGGGGCAACUUCCUAAUGCCCGGUCCACCGGCCGGCGCCAAAGAGAUAUCCCGCUCACCGUCGCCCAGCCGACGGGGCUGUCGCUCCCACCGAUCGUUCAACGAUCCCGGUCGGAGGCCCAGCGUGAAGCCGGACUCGGUGGUGGAAUCGCAGAUACGACAUCCCUCGCUGAACGAUGACCUCAUGGAGCCGAUGAACGGUCGGAAUCUCUUUGCGGCACCCACCAAUCUGUCGCUAGAGAAUGAGCUGUUCGUGGACACGCGUUCGCGCAGCAACAGUCACACCAAGAUGGAGGAGCUUGGUCUGGCGGAGAUCACCGCCGCUGCCGUGGCCGUGCAGCGAUUGCGCAAGAGCUCCGGAGCAGGAUCCUUUGAGGAUGCAACCGCCGGCCACAGUGCCACCCACCCGCCUUCAGCAGCAAACAGCAUCAAGCAGAAGCGGGACUCACACCACCCACACACCCGCCAAGUUAGCACUCACAGUUUGGAGCUAGACGGACGACCAUCGACCUCUGCGGCAGCGGCAGCCGCAGCAGCGGGCGGACAUGGCCUGCAGCUCCACAGCGCGGCGGCGGCGGCCAGUGCAGCGUACCACUUUAAGCGGGGCGCUCAGCACGGACGGUCGCUCUACCUGUCGCCCAGUAAUCUGGAGGAGCUAGCCGUCCACCGGCCAGGUGUUCUGGCUGCAGCAGCGGCUUUCCAGGGCACAAACGCCAGUGCCAGUGUUAAGCAGGCCAAGGCCCUGCACAGCGCAAGCGUACGACUCCGCAGCUAUCGGGAGACACUGAGCGCCUCCAAAAAGUCCAAGAGCUUCAUCGGAGACGCCAGUGCUGGCAGCGGUCCGCAGGCGGGCGACGACUUCGAGCUGAGCUCGCCCCACCGACGCAACAGUCGCCCGCUAUCCACAGUUGUGCCUGGGUCCAGCAUCGAGGAAAUCAAGAGGAGUCCUCGACCCAUUUCCGCUUCGGCGGCGGCGGCCGCCUUCUUGGAGGAGAAGCGACCCAGCUUCGAGAGGAAAUCCUCGUUGACGUACGACCACGAGCUGAGCGAUGCCGCCUUUGCGGCCCAGGUGCUGAGGCCCUUCCACCACAAACUGGCUGCCGGAAGGAAGGGGUCCGUGACCGGAGGCUCGCACAAACUGAAGAAGAAGUCGCUGAGCGAUGACACCGACGAGGAUGAGGCGGCGGAUCGCAAGCGCAAGCGGAUCGUCUGCAUUGUCCUGUCCACGGUCCUGUUGUGCCUGGUGUGCGCCAGCGUUUUUGUGCUGACCAUCACGCUGACCUCCAGCUCCGGCCAGGGCGGAAAGAAGGCGCAUUCGUUCAGCAGGGACACCCCCGUCCACUGGACGGGCAUGCGGCCCUCAUGAACUCCAACGCAGAGGCUGUGCUUCGGCCAAUUCACCAACCUGCCAGCUGGUUAUCCCCUGACUUUGGACUCGAUUUCGUUAACGUUUGCGUUUUCGCUUCCGCUUCGAUUCCGUGCUGUCGUUCCGCUCUACGUUUUGUUUCCUCUGAGUCUCCGGGUCUCUGGUGGCCCCGAAUUGUCCAACUGACGUUUAAAGACUGCGGGAAAGAAGCAACUAGAGGAGAGGCAGCGGCAACUAUCGAAGAGUCUUGCGACAGGAGAACGAGCGCAACUUCCGCGAGAAUCUGGAGCGCACCUGGAUGAUGAAGAACCGCACCGAGCUGAAUCUGCAGCGCCAGCAGAUGGAGAUGCAGCAGCAGCACGUCGUUCCAUGAGCGGAAGGAAGGAA